GUCUGAUGAUGUCAGCAUUCCCUACCUGUGUUGUAUGGAUGUGGUCAUUAGCAGCCCCUUUCCACCCUGAGAGGGAGAGCGGAGCAAUGGGAGAUAUCUCUUUGCAAAAAUCCAUGCAGUAUAAGAACAUGAGCACUUGUAUCUGCAUAUUCUUAAGUAUAGUUCUGAAGCUGGAUUUCAUCUGCACAAAUUGAUGCUGGAAUAAUCCCGAACUGAGUAGGAAGCAUUAAAAAUACUACUUUCUAAUGAUGUUCAAGUGCUUUUUGCCAAUAAUUGUAUUUAAAAGGAACUUUCUGCUCUCAAGAUGUAAGUGGUUGUGCAAUUUGUUACAUGCAAUUUAGUACACAUCACUGAAAACAUUGAUUCAGUACAGGCAGAAAUUUACAGAGAUAAAGUCAAUAAAUAUUUUGUACUACUUGUAGUUGUGAAAUGCAUUGCUUAUAAUUGCUAAAAUCGAAGAAGGUGGAUGAGAAAAGAA